rnacentral:rRNA from 1 species
GACGAACGCUGGCGGCGUGCCUAAUACAUGCAAGUCGAACGAACUCUGGUAUUGAUUGGUGCUUGCAUCAUGAUUUACAUUUGAGUGAGUGGCGAACUGGUGAGUAACACGUGGGAAACCUGCCCAGAAGCGGGGGAUAACACCUGGAAACAGAUGCUAAUACCGCAUAACAACUUGGACCGCAUGGUCCGAGCUUGAAAGAUGGCUUCGGCUAUCACUUUUGGAUGGUCCCGCGGCGUAUUAGCUAGAUGGUGGGGUAACGGCUCACCAUGGCAAUGAUACGUAGCCGACCUGAGAGGGUAAUCGGCCACAUUGGGACUGAGACACGGCCCAAACUCCUACGGGAGGCAGCAGUAGGGAAUCUUCCACAAUGGACGAAAGUCUGAUGGAGCAACGCCGCGUGAGUGAAGAAGGGUUUCGGCUCGUAAAACUCUGUUGUUAAAGAAGAACAUAUCUGAGAGUAACUGUUCAGGUAUUGACGGUAUUUAACCAGAAAGCCACGGCUAACUACGUGCCAGCAGCCGCGGUAAUACGUAGGUGGCAAGCGUUGUCCGGAUUUAUUGGGCGUAAAGCGAGCGCAGGCGGUUUUUUAAGUCUGAUGUGAAAGCCUUCGGCUCAACCGAAGAAGUGCAUCGGAAACUGGGAAACUUGAGUGCAGAAGAGGACAGUGGAACUCCAUGUGUAGCGGUGAAAUGCGUAGAUGUAUGGAAGAACACCAGUGGCGAAGGCGGCUGUCUGGUCUGUAACUGACGCUGAGGCUCGAAAGUAUGGGUAGCAAACAGGAUUAGAUACCCUGGUAGUCCAUACCGUAAACGAUGAAUGCUAAGUGUUGGAGGGUUUCCGCCCUUCAGUGCUGCAGCUAACGCAUUAAGCAUUCCGCCUGGGGAGUACGGCCGCAAGGCUGAAACUCAAAGGAAUUGACGGGGGCCCGCACAAGCGGUGGAGCAUGUGGUUUAAUUCGAAGCUACGCGAAGAACCUUACCAGGUCUUGACAUACUAUGCAAAUCUAAGAGAUUAGACGUUCCCUUCGGGGACAUGGAUACAGGUGGUGCAUGGUUGUCGUCAGCUCGUGUCGUGAGAUGUUGGGUUAAGUCCCGCAACGAGCGCAACCCUUAUUAUCAGUUGCCAGCAUUAAGUUGGGCACUCUGGUGAGACUGCCGGUGACAAACCGGAGGAAGGUGGGGAUGACGUCAAAUCAUCAUGCCCCUUAUGACCUGGGCUACACACGUGCUACAAUGGAUGGUACAACGAGUUGCGAACUCGCGAGAGUAAGCUAAUCUCUUAAAGCCAUUCUCAGUUCGGAUUGUAGGCUGCAACUCGCCUACAUGAAGUCGGAAUCGCUAGUAAUCGCGGAUCAGCAUGCCGCGGUGAAUACGUUCCCGGGCCUUGUACACACCGCCCGUCACACCAUGAGAGUUUGUAACACCCAAAGUCGGUGGGGUAACCUUUUAGGAACCAGCCGCCUAAGGUGGGACAGAUGAUUAGGGUG